UUGGACGCUGGCGGCAUGCCUUACACAUGCAAGUCGAACGGUAGAGGGGCAACCCUUGAGAGUGGCGAACGGGUGAGUAAUGCAUCGGAACGUGCCCAGUCGUGGGGGAUAACGCAGCGAAAGCUGUGCUAAUACCGCAUGUGAUCUGUGGAUGAAAGCAGGGGACCGCAAGGCCUUGUGCGAUUGGAGCGGCCGAUGUCAGAUUAGCUAGUUGGUAGGGUAAAAGCCUACCAAGGCGACGAUC
rnacentral:rRNA from 1 species